rnacentral:rRNA from 1 species
UACGGAGGGUGCAAGCGUUAUCCGGAUUCACUGGGUUUAAAGGGAGCGCAGGCGGAUUGGUAAGUCAGUGGUGAAAGGCUUAAGCUUAACUUGGGAACUGCCAUUGAUACUAUCAGUCCUGAAUGUUGUUGAGGUUUGCGGAAUGGGUCAUGUAGCGGUGAAAUGCAUAGAUAUGACCCGGAACACCUAUUGCGAAGGCAGCAGGCUAAACAAAUAUUGACGCUGAGGCUCGAAAGCGUGGGGAUCAAACAGG